rnacentral:rRNA from 1 species
GACGAAGGGGGCUAGCGUUGUUCGGAAUUACUGGGCGUAAAGCGAGUGUAGGUGGUUGUCCAAGUUGGAUGUGAAAGCCUUGAGCUCAACUCAAGAAAUGCAUUCAGGACUGGGCGGCUAGAGGACCGGAGAGGAUAGUGGAAUUCCCAGUGUAGUGGUGAAAUACGUAGAGAUUGGGAAGAACACCAGUGGCGAAGGCGGCUAUCUGGACGGUUUCUGACACUAAGACACGAAAGCGUGGGGAGCAAACAGG